UGAACUAAACUGAAGUGUGAAUGUUGAUGACUUAUGGACCUACGGGCAAUUGUUACAUUGCUUAGUGGAUUUCCACUAAGCUGCCAGGCUCCAUUCUUAUCUUCUUCGUCUUCAACCUGUACGCAUGAGAGAGAAAGGGAAAGGAAGAAAAAAGGAAAAAGAGAGAAGAGAAGAAAAAUUAAUAGGGAAAAUUGAGUGGAAAUUAGUAGAUUUGAAGAAAUUGAAGCUCCAGCCCGUGAGGAGCUCGAGUGGCCAUGAGUCAAGGUUCUAGCUCGUGCGAGGUGAUCGAGGAUCGUGGUAUGGACAGCGUUCCAUAGAUAGUGGACAUCCAUUGAGUAUAGUUGUACCUUAUUUAUUUCAUCUAUUUAUAGUCAAUGAAAGCAAAUGUAAAUUAUUCAUUUGAGAAAUGGCAAUGUAUAUAUUGGAAGAAUGAAUGUAAUAAUUAUGUAAGCUUUGUAUUUGAUUUAAAGUAAUUAAGAUACAAUGUAUGAAUGGUUUAGUUA